rnacentral:rRNA from 1 species
AUUGAACGCUGGCGGCAUGCUUUACACAUGCAAGUCGAACGGUAACAGGUUAAGCUGACGAGUGGCGAACGGGUGAGUAAUGCAUCGGAACGUGCCCGAUCGUGGGGGAUAACGCAGCGAAAGCUGCGCUAAUACCGCAUACGAUCUGAGGAUGAAAGCGGGGGACCGUAAGGCCUCGCGCGAUCGGAGCGGCCGAUGUCAGAUUAGGUAGUUGGUGGGGUAAAGGCUCACCAAGCCGACGAUCUGUAGCUGGUCUGAGAGGACGACCAGCCACACUGGGACUGAGACACGGCCCAGACUCCUACGGGAGGCAGCAGUGGAGAAUUUUGGACAAUGGGCGAAAGCCUGAUCCAGCAAUGCCGCGUGCAGGAAGAAGGCCUUCGGGUUGUAAACUGCUUUUGUACGGAGCGAAAAGGCUCUCUCUAAUACAGGGGGCUCAUGACGGUACCGUAAGAAUAAGCACCGGCUAACUACGUGCCAGCCGCCGCUGUAACAC